rnacentral:rRNA from 1 species
CCUACGGGGUGCAGCAGUGAGGAAUAUUGGUCAAUGGACGAGAGUCUGAACCAGCCAAGUAGCGUGAAGGAUGACUGCCCUAUGGGUUGUAAACUUCUUUUAUAUGGGAAUAAAAUGUUCCACGUGUGGGAUUUUGUAUGUACCAUAUGAAUAAGGAUCGGCUAACUCCGUGCCAGCAGCCGCGGUAAUACGGAGGAUCCGAGCGUUAUCCGGAUUUAUUGGGUUUAAAGGGAGCGUAGGUGGAUUGUUAAGUCAGUUGUGAAAGUUUGCGGCUCAACCGUAAAAUUGCAGUUGAAACUGGCAGUCGUGAGUACAGUAGAGGUGGGCGGAAUUCGUGGUGUAGCGGUGAAAUGCUUAGAUAGCACGAAGAACUCCGAUUGCGAAGGCAGCUCACUGGACUGCAACUGACACUGAGGCUCGAAAGUGUGGGUAUCAAACAGGAUUAGAUACCCGAGUAGUC